rnacentral:rRNA from 1 species
CCCUUAGAUGUUCUGGGCCGCACGCGCGCUACACUGAACAGUUCAACAAGUCUUAACCUUGGCCGAUAGGUCUGGGUAAUCUUUGAGCGCUGUUCGUGAUUGGGAUAGACCUUUGCAAUUAUGGGUCUUCAACGAGGAAUUCCUAGUAAACGCAAGUCAUCAGCUUGCAUUGAUUACGUCCCUGCCCUUUGUACACACCGCCCGUCGCACCUACCGAUUGAAUGGUCCGGUGAAAUCUCGGGACGGCGGCUUGGUCGCUUGCGUCCGACUGCUGAAACUUGAUUAAACCAUAUCAUUUAGAGGAAGGUGAANUCGUAACA